GACGAACGCUGGCGGCAUGCCUAACACAUGCAAGUCGAACGGAGAUUAUUUCGGUAAUCUUAGUGGCGAACGGGUGAGUAACGCGUAGGCAACCUGCCCUUUAGUUGGGGACAACAUCCCGAAAGGGGUGCUAAUACCGAAUGUGAUCGCUUUCUCGCAUGAGAGAGCGAUGAAAGAUGGCCUCUAGUUUAUAAGCUAUCGCUAAAGGAUGGGCCUGCGUCUGAUUAGCUAGUUGGUGAGGUAACGGCCCACCAAGGCGACGAUCGGUAGCCGGACUGAGAGGUUGAACGGCCACAUUGGGACUGAGACACGGCCCAG
rnacentral:rRNA from 1 species